UCCUCAUUGUACAUGCUGUGUGUAUUUUUAUUACAUACACAGCGCAUGCAAUGUGGACA
rnacentral:pre_miRNA from 1 species